UGGCGGACGGGUGAGUAACGCGUGGACAACCUACCCCGCACUGGGGGACAACAGCCGGAAACGGCUGCUAAUACCGCAUAUGCGCACGGCCCCGCAUGGGGCCGCGCGGAAAGCGCAUGCGGUGCGGGAUGGGUCCGCGUCUGAUUAGCUUGUUGGCGGGGUAACGGCCCACCAAGGCGACGAUCAGUAGCCGGCCUGAGAGGGUGGACGGCCACAUUGGGACUGAGACACGGCCCAGACUCCUACGGAAGGCAGCAG
rnacentral:rRNA from 1 species